UCCAGUUUUGACAUCCUUGACUGCAAGAUCCAAUAUUUCAUCUGAACGUAUUCAGUAUGAAGUUCUUGGAAUACACUCCGCUCAACCGAAUAAAUGGUUUCUUGAAUGAUUUAAACCUCGGUGAGAGUACCAUCAAAGGAAGCCUUGAAGCAUACUCUUGCAAACACACUGGAACGGAUAAAAGAGACUCAGUUUUGAGAA